UACGUAGGGUGCAAGCGUUGUCCGGAAUUAUUGGGCGUAAAGAGCUCGUAGGCGGCCUGUCGCGUCGACUGUGAAAACCCGCGGCUCAACCGUGUGGUCUGCAGUCGAUACGGGCAGGCUAGAGUUCGGUAGGGGAGACUGGAAUUCCUGGUGUAGCGGUGAAAUGCGCAGAUAUCAGGGGGAACACCGGUGGCGAAGGCGGGAUGCUGGGCCGACACUGACGCUGAGGCGCGAAAGCCAGGGGAGCAAACGGG
rnacentral:rRNA from 1 species